GACGAACGCUGGCGGCGUGCCUAACGCAUGCAAGUCGAACGGAGUUGACCUUCGGGUUAACUUAGUGGCGAACGGGUGAGUAACGCGUGAGAAACCUGCCUCUCAGUGGGGGACAACAGUUGGAAACGACUGCUAAUACCGCAUGACACUUUAGUACCGCAUGGUACAGAAGUCAAAGCUUUAUGUGCUGAGAGAUGGUCUCGCGUCUGAUUAGCUAGAUGGCGGGGUAACGGCCGACCAUGGCGACGAUCAGUAGCCGGUCUGAGAGGAUGAACGGCCACAUUGGGACUGAGAUACGGCCCAGACUCCUACGGGAGGCAGCAGUGGGGAAUAUUGGGCAAUGGGGGAAACCCUGACCCAGCAACGCCGCGUGAAGGAAGAAGGCCUUCGGGUUGUAAACUUCUUUUACCAGGGACGAAGAACGUGACGGUACCUGGAGAAAAAGCAACGGCUAACUACGUGCCAGCCGCCGCGGUAAAAC
rnacentral:rRNA from 1 species